GACGAACGCUGGCGGCGUGCCUAAUACAUGCAAGUAGAACGCUGAAGCUUGGUGCUUGCACCGAGCGGAUGAGUUGCGAACGGGUGAGUAACGCGUAGGUAACCUGCCUGGUAGCGGGGGAUAACUAUUGGAAACGAUAGCUAAUACCGCAUAACAGUAGAUGUCGCAUGACAUUUGCUUAAAAGGUGCAAUUGCAUCACUACCAGAUGGACCUGCGUUGUAUUAGCUAGUUGGUGAGGUAACGGCUCACCAAGGCGACGAUACAUAGCCGACCUGAGAGGGUGAUCGGCCACACUGGGACUGAGACACGGCCCAGACUCCUACGGGAGGCAGCAGUAGGGAAUCUUCGGCAAUGGACGGAAGUCUGACCGAGCAACGCCGCGUGAGUGAAGAAGGUUUUCGGAUCGUAAAGCUCUGUUGUAAGAGAAGAACGAGUGUGAGAGUGGAAAGUUCACACUG
rnacentral:rRNA from 1 species